UGCAUAAGCCACUCCCCAACUUUGUUGCAACUAGAAUCAUCAGACACACUCCUUCAUCCAUCUCCUCCACCUCUCAUUCUCUCAAAAACUCUAUGUAACAAAUAAACCUUCUCACCUUCAACCUCUCAAACCCACACAUCUUGACACAACCGCCUCCCUCGUUCUCUUUCCUUCUCACGAAACGAAACGCAAAAGCCAUUCGCCGUAGUCGGAAUCUCACCAGGGUUUGAAGCAUCACCGGAAAGGUCAGAACUCGCCGGAAUCACGCCCGGAGUUCAUCGAGUCGGACACGGCUCUUCUCGUUUUGCAUAAAAAAAAGACAACCGGAACCGUGACAAAGCCAGGAUACGUUUCGCCACCCUCUCACCGUUGUUUCACUCGCGAGAACGAUAACAAACUCGUCGGAGAAAGCUAGUCGUCACCGGAGUUCACCGGAGCCGUCCGAAUCACGUCGGAGACUCGGAGAAGGCGACCGGAAAGCCCGCGGCCCUUAUAUCGUUUCGGGAAAUAGGGUUCUGGAUGCGGAUGAAGGAUUGGGGAUUUUGGUUAAUCGCUAUCGUUCGUUCUCUUGGUUUCCUAACCUUACUCGUGCGUUACUUACAAGAAAGCGCAACGCAACCAAUGUGA
rnacentral:lncRNA from 1 species